CUUCUCUGCAACCCUCAUGGCCUGGGGUGGGAGGGAAGAAGGCUCCCACCCAGAGCUGCUUGGAAAAGAGCAGUUCGUUAAGCCUAAGAACUUUAAGGAGAAAUUCCUAGUUUUGCUUAGUUUUUCACCGGGAAAGAGUUCGUGGCUCCCGGAUGGAAUUUCUGGAUAUUGUGAUAAGGAAUAAAUAAAAAAAGCAGGGUAAAAUGGAGAAUAAUCCACCUUAAAAGAGCUGGAAGUUGGGGUUUGGAGCAACCUGGUCUGAUGGGAGGUGUCCCUGCCCGUGGCAGGGGGGUGGAACUGGAUGGUCUUGAAGGUCCCUUCCAACCCAAACCACUCUAUGAUUCCAUGAAGCUCAAUAUUUACUGCAGUUUUAGGGAUGCUGGAGGCUUCAUUCCAGCAGAAGCCGGGGAGAUACUGGUUCUUCUUGGAGGCAUCUUUCUAGCUUUUUUUAUUCUCUCCAUCCCAGCUGUGAUUUCCUAAAGAUCUCAGUUCAGCCCCACGGCAGGACAGGAAGGGUUUUGAAAUCAUGAAGGUUUUAUAAGAAAUAGAAAAACAUCCCACUUGGUUGUAGCCACGAGCUCUUUGCAGGUGGGUGCUGGGUGGUCCAAGCCAAGGUGGUUUCUUCUUGGGCACCAAACGUGGUGAGAGGGAGCAGAGCCAUGAGGUGUGGAGGCAAAAAAGAUGGGCGGGGAGUGAAGCUUCUUUCUUAACAGCAAGAAGCUCAAAUCAGCCAAAAUAUGCCAAAAAAAAUAGAGGCCUGGAGUCUGCUGGUGAUCUCGGGGAGGGAUUAGAUGGGUUUUUCAUGAGGAGCAUUUCUUUGAGAGAUUUCCAUGUUGGUGCCUCCAACGAGAGCCUUUCAGUGCUGUUUCCACAGGAGCAGAACAUCUCAGAACAUUCUCAAGAACGGAUGAACCACGCCGUCGAAGAGCUGAGCCUUGAGGGAAGAAGGAAUGUCCUUCAGCAUCUCGAGACCUCGUUGAAGUCCUACAGAGGAAUAUUUGGCCCGAGUGUGGAGUGGAUGUUGAAGGACCAUCAGUGAGACGUACUCAACGUUGGGGCUGCAGUCAGGAGGAGACUAACAGAAAAGGGCUGCAGAGGUGACAAAGAUGGGUCCUACCUGCGAGGAGAGUUCCUGGCUCUGGUCCCUCCGUGGGGCAACUGUCAGAGGGGAGGUGGAGCUGCAGGAACCCCUGGAAGAGAAGAACAGGUUUGAUUGUGGUUUAUCAGCUGAUUUAGAGGGACUCUUUGAUGAGCCACAGAAAGAUAAAGGCAGGUAAUAACGGAGGAGAGUUCCUCGACCCGUUUUGGUUAGGAGCUACGACGCAACAAACCCAACAGUUGGGGUUUUUAAGACUUCCAAGGAUGGAAGUAUCAAAAUUAAAUUCAAAUCCCAGGGUCACCUCUCCCUGGGUUCAACCAUCCUCAAAAAACAAAAAAAGAAAAAAAUAGGUUUCGACAGAAUUCCCAGUAUUUUAAGUUGCGGACGCAAACCGUGGGCAAUAUCCCUGAUUCCAGGGAUAUUUUGGGUUUCUUUAACCAAAAGCAGGUUUCAAGCUGUAUUUCUUGGUCGGGAGCCAGACAGGUCAGAGCAAACACAAGCCCAGGGGCUCAAGUGAUCCCAAACGGCGGUUACGAUCAGGCACUUACACCGUGUCUUUAUUUACUUGCUUUACUCAUCGAAGGCGAUUGGCCGCCGGCAAAUUAAAGCCAGGACCCGGGUGUCAGAGACCUGCACCACCUACGUAAAUGGUUUGUUGGCCAGAAGUUCCCCCAAAUAAACACCAA